GGUUAAAAAGCUCGUAGUUGGAUUUCUGUCUGGAACGGGCGGUCCGGCCCUAGGCCGUGUAUCUGUCUUAUCUAGGCAUCCUCAUGAAGAUCGUCGCUGUGCUUCAUUGCGUGGUGCGGAAUUCACGACUUUUACUUUGAGGAAAUUAGAGUGUUCACGGCAAGCAAUCGCUUUGAAUACAUUAGCAUGGAAUAAUAAUAUAGGACCUUGGUACUAUUUUGUUGGUUUCUAGAACUAAGGUAAUGAUUAAUAGGGACAGUUUGGGGGCUUUCGUAUUAACGCGUCAGAGGUGGAAUUCUUGGAUUGCGUUACGACGAACUACUGCGAAAGCAUUUGCCAAGGAUGUUUUCAUUGAUCAAGAACGAAAGUAUGGGGAUCGAAGACGAUUAGAUACCGUCGUAGUCUAUACCAUAAACUAUGCCAACUAGAAAUCGGUGGUCGUAUUAUUUUAUGACUCCAUCGGCGUCUUAUGAGAAAUCAAAGUCUUUGGGUUCCGGGGGGAGUAUGGUCGCAAGGCUGAACUU
rnacentral:rRNA from 1 species